GGCAGGCAGGCAGGCAGGCAGGCAGGCAGGCAGGCAGGCAGGCAGGCAGGCAGACGGACAGAUGGAUCGACAUACAGACAAGAGUUUAUUUAUAACAAAUGAAACAAAGACAUUUUUCAAAAUAUUGCAAAUUUCCAGUGUUUCAAGCAUUGAAGCAUGAAAAUUAAAGUACUCUUUACAUGCUGCAAGAGAUCUCAUUCGGGAAGUAAAAAUAGAAUCGUGGGCUGAUUCGGCAAGCUUGCUUGGUUUGAACAAGUUGCAGUGUAAAUCCAAAUAGCAACGAACACGGUGGUUUUUGGAGCGUCUGAUCGUAAUUUUAAAUAAUAUCUAUCAAGAGUGAAUUUGUCGAAGUUGCGAAAUACAUUAUCGAUAAUAUUAUUUCUAUAUAUAAAACAUAUUCAAAUGUAUUGCAAUGAAAUUUGUAAUGACACGUCAAAUUAUGCUCUCGGUGGUGAUCAGUAGAAUACGAAUAAACGAGCGUAAAACAGCGUAACAAAAUUAAUUGUAAGCCAAACGAGAGAUAUCUCAAUAAAUAAGGGCUGAAAGAAUCGACGUGGUGAUAAUUUUUUAUGGAUGAGGGAAAAGUGUAUGUGUACCUUCUCGCACAGAGAUUUUACUUGGCUUUCUGUUAGUUGUUGGCAGUUAUUUAAUUGUUCUAUCCACUGAUCGAGUUCCUUCAACGACGCCUUUUCCUCCAUCGUACAAAUCUACGUAUGAAGUCUACGGAUAGCCCGCACUCUUAGCACAUGUAAUAAAAGUAAAGCGAGUCCGUCCCGUAAACUAAAUCAUUC